UACGUAGGGUCCGAGCGUUGUCCGGAAUUACUGGGCGUAAAGCGUGCGCAGGCGGUUGUGCAAGACAGAUGUGAAAUCCCCGGGCUCAACCUGGGAACUGCAUUUGUGACUGCACGGCUAGAGUGUGUCAGAGGGGGGUAGAAUUCCACGUGUAGCAGUGAAAUGCGUAGAUAUGUGGAGGAAUACCGAUGGCGAAGGCAGCCCCCUGGGAUAACACUGACGCUCAUGCACGAAAGCGUGGGGAGCAAACAGG
rnacentral:rRNA from 1 species